rnacentral:rRNA from 1 species
GAUGAACGCUGGCGGCGUGCCUAAUACAUGCAAGUCGAACGAACUAACUUGUUAGUGAGUGGCGAACGGGUGAGUAACACGUAGGUAACAUAUCCAUACGACGAGGAUAACGGCUGGAAACGGCUGCUAAGACUGGAUAGGAAUAUAAGAGGAUUCUCUAAUAUUUUAAAGGACUAUAAAUAUAGUACGCGUAUGGGGUGGCCUGCGGCGCAUUAGCUAGUUGGUGGAGUAAGAGCCCACCAAGGCAAUGAUGCGUAGCCGGACUGAGAGGUUGACCGGCCACAUUGGGACUGAGACACGGCCCAG